rnacentral:misc_RNA from 1 species
UCUCUCUAAAUUCAGUUUAUAUAAAGAGUUCUUAAGGGAAAUUUCUAGGAGUUGCUGUCUGCAAAUUUCAAAUUUUAUUGUAUAUUGUCAUAACCUUACAGCAAUCUAGUAGAAGCAAUUAAUACCUUAAACAUAAUAAUUUAUCACGCUUCAAAGCCUAUCCUCCACCCACUGCCCCAACAAUUCACGCCUCUUCGUCCUCUAGAACGUCAAGGUGGAAAACAACUUGUGUGCCCAUCUGAGACGGUACAUCUUUGUCCCUUGAAGUUAGCAGUAUUUUGCAUCCUUUGCAGCCAUCCCCGAUGGGAAUUCCUACUGCUUUUAAAUCAAGUUGUUUCCAAAUA